rnacentral:antisense_RNA from 1 species
UUUGAUCGAUCCCAACCACAGCGGGUGCUCCGGCCCACGCGCGGCACCGUAGGUGGCGAUCAGGGCGCCGGCCUC